CCUACGGGAGGCAGCAGUGGGGAAUAUUGCACAAUGGACGAAAGCCUGAUCCAGCGAAGUAGCGUGAAUGAUGACUGCCCUCGGGGUUGUAAGCUUCUUUUAUAGAGGAGUAAAACGAGGCACGUGUGCCUUUUUGCAUGUACUUUAUCAUUACGGAUCGGCUAACUCCGUGCCGGCAGCCGCGGUAAUACGGAGGAUCCGAGCGUUAUCCGGAUUUAUUGGGUUGAAAGGGAGCGUAGAUGGGUUGUUAAGUCAGUUGUGAAAGUUUGCGGCUCAACCGUAAAAUUGCAAUUGAUACUGGCAGUCUUGAGUACAGUUGAGGUAGGCGGAAUUCGUGGUGUAGCGGUGAAAUGCUUAGAUAUUACGAAGAACCCCGAUGGCGAAGGCAGCUUACUAAACUGUGACUGACAUUGAUGCUCGAAAGUGUGGGUAUCAAACAGGAUUAGAUACCCCAGUAGUC
rnacentral:rRNA from 1 species